UGAAACAUACCGUUUGUAUGACAUUUUGUGGAUCAACUCAAAACAAGCAUGCACUGAGAUGACUUAAGUGAAAAUAUUAAUUUAUUCAUCAGACUUAUUCCUUGAACAUUUUAUGCUGACUUCUGAAAAACAUCUCAAGUUGACUUGGCAUUGUCGAUGGGCACCACAUAUGAUGACAUAUGAUGCAGGUUCAAGUGCUGGACUUUGCUGCUUUAGCUCUCUAUUCAACUCCUCCGACUGCAACCGGCAAAUCUUGCCAAUCGAAACUGUACGGGAAACACGACUGAUUACUGGAGGGUCACGUGACUUUUUAAAGCUUUGAUUGGCUAGGAGGCGAGACACAGGAGUCUUGAGCUGUUGUAAAAAGUCGAGAAAGACACGCAGUAUGCAUGAAUGAACUUGUUGAAAUGUAAUACAUUGCAGAAUGUUUAUUUUAAUGUGGCAGUGCUCAGAUUGUGAAAAGAUUGAAAAUACAUGUGUGCAAAUG